rnacentral:rRNA from 1 species
CGCGUAGGCGGCCACGCGUGUCUUUCGUGAAAUCCCUCGGCUUAACUGAGGACGUGCGGAAGAAACUGCGAGGCUUGAGUCCGGGAGAGGGGGGUGGAAUUCCCAGUGUAGCGGUGAAAUGCGUAGAUAUUGGGAGGAACACCGGUGGCGAAGGCGGCCCCCUGGACCGGUACUGACGCUAAAGCGCGAAAGCGUGGGUAGCAAACG